rnacentral:rRNA from 1 species
GAGUUUGAUCGUGGCUCAGAACGAACGCUGGCGGCAGGCCUAACACAUGCAAGUCGAGCGCUUCACUUCGGUGAGGAGCGGCGAACGGGUUAGUAACGCGUGGGAACGUACCCAAAGGUAGGGAAUAGCCACUGGAAACGGUGAGUAAUGCCCUAUGUGCCCUUGGGGAAAGAUUAUCGCCUUUGGAUCGGCCCGCGUUAGAUUAGGUAGUUGGUGGGGUAAUGGCCUACCAAGCCUACGAUCUAUAGCUGGUUUGAGAGGAUGAUCAGCAACACUGGGACUGAGACACGGCCCAAACUCCUACGGGAGGCAGCAGUGGGGAAUCUUAGACAAUGGGCGAAAGCCUGAUCUAGCCAUGCCGCGUGAGUGAUGAAGGCCUUAGGGUCGUAAAGCUCUUUCGCCAGGGAUGAUAAUGA